rnacentral:rRNA from 1 species
GACAGAGGAGCCAAGCGUUGUCCGGAUUGACUGGGCGGAAAGCGCACGCAGGCGGUCGUGCACGUGGGGUGUGAAAACUGGCGGCUUAACUGCCAGAGGCCACCUCAUACGGCGCGACUCGAGCCCUGCAGAGGUCCAUGGAAUUGCCGGUGUAGUGGUGAAAUGCGUAGAGAUCGGCAGGAACACCCAGGGGGAAACCAGUGGACUGGGCAGGAGCUGACGCUCAGGUGCGAAAGCGUGGGGAGCGAACCGG